AUUGAACGCUGGCGGCAUGCUUUACACAUGCAAGUCGAACGGCAGCACGAAAGAGCUUGCUCUUUUGGUGGCGAGUGGCGAACGGGUGAGUAAUGCAUCGGAACGUACCGAGUAAUGGGGGAUAACCGUCCGAAAGGAUAGCUAAUACCGCAUACGCUUUGAGAAGGAAAGUGGGGGCUCUUCGGACCUCACGUUAUUCGAGCGGCCGAUGUCUGAUUAGCUAGUUGGUGGGGUAAAGGCCUACCAAGGCGACGAUCAGUAGCGGGUCUGAGAGGAUGAUCCGCCACACUGGGACUGAGACACGGCCCAGACUCCUACGGGAGGCAGCAGUGGGGAAUUUUAGACAAUGGGCGCAAGCCUGAUCCAGCCAUGCCGCGUGUCUGAAGAAGGCCUUCGGGUUGUAAAGGACUUUUGUUAGGGAAGAAAAGGAUAGUGUUAAUACCAUUAUCUGCUGACGGUACCUAAAGAAUAAGCACCGGCUAACUACGUG
rnacentral:rRNA from 1 species